rnacentral:tRNA from 1 species
GAGGGUACAGCUCAAAGUGGUAGAGUGCAUGCUUAGUGCGCACGAGGUCCUGGGUUCGAUCCCCAAUACCUCCU